rnacentral:rRNA from 1 species
GAUGAACGCUGGCGGCGUGCCUAAUACAUGCAAGUCGAGCGAACAGACGAUGAGCUUGCUCCUCUGACGUUAGCGGCGGACGGGUGAGUAACACGUGGAUAACCUACCUAUAAGACUGGGAUAACUUCGGGAAACCGGAGCUAAUACCGGAUAAUAUAUUGAACCGCAUGGUUCAAUAGUGAAAGACGGUUUUGCUGUCACUUAUAGAUGGAUCCGCGCCGCAUUAGCUAGUUGGUAAGGUAACGGCUUACCAAGGCAACGAUGCCUAGCCGACCUGAGAGGGUGGUCGGCCCCAACGGAACUGAGAACAGGUCCAGACUCCUAAGGGAGGCAGCCGGAGGGAAUCUUCCGCAAUGGGCGAAAGCCUGACGGAGCAACGCCGCGUGAGUUAUGAAGGUCUUCGGAGCGUAAAACUCUGUUAUUAGGGAAGAAAAAAUGUGUAAGUAACUAUGCACGUCUUGAAGGUACCUAAUCAGAAAGCCACGGCUAAAUACGUG